GGGUUGUGGGGGCAGGAAGAGCUCAGUCUUCAAGGAAGGCCCCGCCCAUGGAUCCUUCUCAGGACAACACAAAGGCAACAGCGAGGCUGCCCUCCUAAGCCACAGAGGGCCUGGGCUCCCCAUCCUGCUCACCAGCACAUGGACCACA